rnacentral:rRNA from 1 species
UUGGAGGGCAAGUCUGGUGCCAGCAGCCGCGGUAAUUCCAGCUCCAAUAGCGUAUAUUAAAGUUGUUGCAGUUAAAAAGCUCGUAGUUGAAUUUCGGGAUCAGAUUGUCGGUCGUGCCUCGGUACGCACUGGUAUUAUUGAUUCCUACCUUCUGAAGAACCGCGAUGUCAUUAAUUUGGUGUCGUGGGGAAUCAGGACUGUUACUUUGAAAAAAUUAGAGUGUUUAAAGCAGGCUUACGCUUGAAUACAUUAGCAUGGAAUAAUGAAAUAGGACGUUUGAUUCUAUUUUGUCGGUUUCUAGGAUUGACGUAAUGAUUAAUAGGGAUAGUUGGGGGCAUUAGUAUUCAAUUGUCGGAGGUGAAAUUCUUGGAUUUAUUGAAGACUAACUACUGCGAAAGCAUUUGCCAAGGAUGUUUUCAUUAAUCAAGAACGAAAGUUAGGGGAUCGAAGACGAUCAGAUACCGUCGUAGUCUUAACCAUAAACUAUGCCGACUAGGGAUCGGAUGAUGUUAAUUUUUUAAUGACUCAUUCGGCGCCUUACGGGAAACCAAAGUGUUUGGGUUC